CCUACGGGAGGCAGCAGUAAGGAAUAUUGGUCAAUGGACGCAAGUCUGAACCAGCCAUGCCGCGUGAAGGAUUAAGGUCCUCUGGAUUGUAAACUUCUUUUAUUUGGGACGAAAAAAGGGUCUUUCUAGAUCAACUGACGGUACCAGAUGAAUAAGCACCGGCUAACUCCGUGCCAGCAGCCGCGGUAAUACGGAGGGUGCAAGCGUUAUCCGGAUUCACUGGGUUUAAAGGGUGCGUAGGCGGGAAGGUAAGUCAGUGGUGAAAUCCCUAGAGCUUUAAACUCUAGGAACUGCC
rnacentral:rRNA from 1 species